UAGGGAUCUUCCACAAUGGGCGCAAGCCUGAUGGAGCAACACCGCGUGAGUGAAGAAGGGUUUCGGCUCGUAAAGCUCUGUUGUUAAAGAAGAACACGUAUGAGAGUAACUGUUCAUACGUUGACGGUAUUUAACCAGAAAGCCACGGCUAACUACGUGCCUG
rnacentral:rRNA from 1 species